AUGGAUAGAAAGCUCUCUGAGCAUUUGAAUACAGAAAGGUCAUUGCUGGAAGUUUUCUGCACUCACUAGUUUGUGUUCACUCGGGUGGUUGGACUUCUUGCACUUCAAUUCUUCAAUGGAGGCCAUUGUAGGGCUGUUGUGAGGUGUAUUGGAGGUGAUCAAGGCCAUGUGCUUAAUGAAGGACCUUGUCCUUAUUCUUUGGUAGCCUAUUUGUGAUGCAUUGCUCUUUGGACACUAUAUAUUUUUCAAUGGAGUCGAUCUUUCUUGAGCACCUUGAGCUAUUAUGGAGCAUACGUUAGGAAGUCAAGGCCUUGUGCCUUGAAGUUGGUGUCUUAUUUUAGUCUUCUCCGAAGGUCGUGAGCAAUGGAGGGUCAACAAAGGGGGUUUUCCGUAUCUUUUCUCCGCAUUUAGAUUUUCAUUUAGAUAGUUAAUUUUUGUGCUUUUGCCCGGACUUCACUCUCAUGCCUAAAUCCGACACGGAUUUAGCUUUCGAGCUCACUUUACAACAUUGAGGACAAUGUUGGUUUUAAGUGUGGGGGU
rnacentral:lncRNA from 1 species